GGACAGUUGCCAUGGGAGGCCCACCGCUGGCUAAAAGGAAGAUGCUUGAUUUUUCUGAGCAUUGGAAGAGGAUUCCUGGAUUCGGAGUGGUGUGGCCACCAUGGUGCACCCUGUGCUGGUGGAUGGGUCAGGACGGGGCAGUUGCCUUGAGAGACCCACCAUGUGCUGCCGCAACAGAUGGUCGAUUCUUCCAAGCAGCGGAGUCCCCAUGGAGUCGUGGAGUCAGUGCGGCCUGGCAUCCAUGGUGCACCUCGUGCUGGCGGGUGGCUCAGAAUGGGGCAGUUAUCAUGGGACAUCUGCCAUAUGCUGGCAGGAAGAUGGUCAGUUCUUCUGGGACACAAAGGCCCCCAGAGUCCUGAAGUCAUUAUGGCCUGGCCUCCAUGGUGCACCACCUGCUGGUGGAUGGCUCAGGAUGGUAAGGAUUCCUCUGCCCCGCGUGCUGAGUGGGGGUGUCUUUGGGAAUUCCAAGACUUGCAAGGAGCUGUUUCUUACCAGGCCGCUGAAAGCAUGGCGAAUUCCAUGCCUAAAAUGA
rnacentral:lncRNA from 1 species